UACGUAGGGGGCGAGCGUUGUCCGGAAUUAUUGGGCGUAAAGAGCGUGUAGGCGGUUCGGUAAGUCUGCCGUGAAAACCUGGGGCUCAACCCCGGGCGUGCGGUGGAUACUGCCGGGCUAGAGGGUGGUAGAGGCGAGUGGAAUUCCCGGUGUAGCGGUGAAAUGCGCAGAUAUCGGGAGGAACACCAGUGGCGAAGGCGGCAUCCUGGACCGGUAUUGACGCUGAGGCGCGAAAGCUAGGGGAGCAAACGGG
rnacentral:rRNA from 1 species